rnacentral:misc_RNA from 1 species
GGAAGGAUCAUUAACACGUGUAUUCCACGUCAACCAAUCGAGAACUGUUUUCCGUCUCCCUUUGCGUAUGACAUGAACUGGAAGUGGUAGUCUGAGGGAGUAAUGGGAGGAGUGGCGCUCACAGCGCUGACCCCUCGGCCUUCCUGCCAUACUGACUCGAGAUGUCACCAUCUCGAGUCGACAGUUGAAGUCGCCGCAAAGGCAUUUCUCUUGCCGCUCUGGCCUCCAUUGCGGCCGCAUAGAGUAGCAAGAGAGCAACAUAUACCAAUUUCACACUAUUCCUAGUUGACUUUACUUUACUGUAUGUGUACCGCUCUGCGUGUCAUGCAUACACGUUUAAUCUUAAUUGAACGCAAAAGCAAAACAACUCUUAGCCAAUGGAUAUCUUGGCUCUCGCAACGAUGAAGAACGCAGCGAAAUGCGAUACGUAAUGUGAAUUGCAGGACUCAGUGAAUCAUCAAAUCUUUGAACGCAAAUUGCGCUCUUGGGUAGCCCUAGGAGCACGCCUCUCUCAGUAUCGGUUCCAAUCAAUCAGCACCGCGCAUUCAACAGGAGCUACUGUUCCUGUUUGUCUGCGCGUCCGCUGGAGAAUGAGAGUCUACGCGCCCGACGCCUAGUCUCUUUAAGUACAUCGAGUCUGCACCCUUGACCUCCGCUCUGUUGCCUUCGUGCGCAGAUAGCCGCCGGACGGUCCACGGGCAGUGACGUGAAUUAUGGCUUUUCGCCUCCAUUCCUACGUCGCAGCUGCCUGUUGGAUACUGACGUUCGUGUGUGUGAAUGGACGGCUAGGUGUGCUGACGUGAGUGCCCCAUAUGUCUGUCGUCGAUUCGUUCGAUGGCCGUCUGAAAUUUGAUCUGAGAUGAAGUGAGACAACCCCCUGAAUUUAAGCAUAUUAAUAAGGGGAGGAAAAGAAACUAACAAGGAUCCCUUCAGUAACGGCGAGUGAAGCAGGGAGAGCUCAAUUUGAAAAUCGAUAACCUAGACGGGUAAUCGAGUUGUAGCCUAGAGACGUACUAUCAGCUGACACCUGGGUAUAAGUUCUUUGGAAUGAGGCACGUCACAGGGUGAGAGUCCCGUGUACGACCCAAAGCUGUCAGCGUACGAUGUGCGUUCAUCGAGUCGAGUUGUUUGGGAUUGCAGCUCUAAAUGGGUGGUAAGUUUCAUCUAAAGCUAAAUACUGGCGAGAGACCGAUAGCGAACAAGUACCGUGAGGGAAAGAUGAAAAGAACUUUGAAAAGAGAGUUAAAAGUACUUGAAAUUGCUAAGAGGGAAGCGCUAAGCAGCAGUCAUACGUUCGGUCAAUCGGCGCUCGCCCCUGUGGUGCGCGCGCGCAAUGGGUAACCUUGCGUGUGCGUACGAAGGAGGGUGGGCGUUUUCUGAUCGGGCGUGAGUCAAGGUCAAUUCGCGCGGUGGGAGAAGGCGCUGGGAAAGGUAGGAGAGCAAUCUCUGUUAUAUUCCCGGUGCUCUACCUCGGCGUGGAUUGAGGAAGGAAUGGUGCGCCGCUUGCGGCUCGGCCCCGUGUCCCUGUUGCCCCACCCGCUUGGAUAGCAAUGCUAUGUCUGUGGGGAAAGGUAGCACUGGGCGCGGCGGUCCGAAGUGCCAUCGCGACCUUGCACGAAAUGCUGCUUAUCGACCCGUCUUGAAACACGGACCAAGGAGUCUAACAUCUAUGCGAGUAUUUGGGUGCAAAACCCUGAUGCGCAAUGAAAGUAAAGGCAGCUCGUCUGCUGAGGUAGGAAUCCUUCACGGGAGGCACUAUCGACCGAUCAUCACUUGUGAAAGAUUUGAGUAAGAGCAUAUCUGUUGGGACCCGAAAGAUGGUGAUCUAUGCCUGAACAGGGUGAAGCCCAGCGAAAGUUGGGUGGAGGCUCGUAGCGAUACUGACGUGCAAAUCGUUCGUCUGAUUUGGGUAUAGGGGCGAAAGACUAAUCGAACCAUCUAGUAGCUGGUUCCCUC